GACGAACGCUGGCGGCGUGCUUAACACAUGCAAGUCGAACGGAAAGGCCUGCUUUCCCUUGUGGAGUUCGGGUACUCGGGUGGCGAACGGGUGAGUAACACGUGAGUCAUCUGCCCCCAACUUGGGUAUAAGACUGGGAAACUGGGUCGAAUUCUCGUUAGGACUGCAGGGUGGUGCCGGUGGUGGAAAACGUUCUUCUAGUGGUUGGGGAUGAGCUCGCGGCCUAUCAGCUUGGUGGAGGGGUAAAUGCCUACCAAGGCGGCGACCGGAAGCCGGACUGGGAUGGUGGACGGCGACACUGGGACUGAGACACGGCUCAGACUGCUGCGAGAGGUGGCAGUGGGGAAUAUGACAGCGAGGGCGGAACGCUGCAGCAGCGACGGCGCGUGGGAGAUGACGGGCUUCGGGUUGUCAGCUCCUAUCGACCGCGAGGAAGCCACGUGGCUGGGAGGGUGGUGACGGUAGUGGUAGAAGAAGCACCGGCUAACUACGUG
rnacentral:rRNA from 1 species